rnacentral:misc_RNA from 1 species
UCCUCGUCGCCCCUCUGCGUUGGCCCCCCCCCACCGCAUAUACAAGCACUCGCACGCCUGCGCGGAUGUCUUAGCGACACAGUAAGUGGUGCUUGCAUGAACAAGUCGCAGUUCUACGCGCUACACAGCGCGUACGGCGGCCUGCGUGAGGCGACGCAUCUCGCUGCUGUGACCGAACAGGGCCUCCCCAGUCAGCACGGAGCAGUAGAGAGCCCAGCAGCGGGCCCGCCAUCCUUGAGGGCCGUGAACGACGCCGUUGGCACUGCGGGCCCCCAAGGCGCAUCCAUGUCGAUGAUGAUGUCCAGCACAGAUGCACUGCCAGUCAAGAGUGAAGCGCAUAUGUUUCACCGCCGUAUGCCGGACGACAGCGCUUUCUUAGUGACGCCAGACGCAGAGCUGUGUGCACGGCACCACGCCUCGCUGGCACAGGUGUGGGCCUGGAGAACGCAGCUCAGCCAACAGCAGAGCCCUCUAUAUCACAGAACGUCCACGAUCGCCGCACCAUCAGCAAGUGGCCAUCGGGAGCCUCAAGACACGACGGAGACAACGCUGGAAGGAGGCACACCCCACUCCCCGCACCGACCCUGCACAGCAGCUAACCUCCUCCGAAGCUGCUGCCGGGCCACUCCUCCCCACCUUCUGACAGGCAGUGGCAGCGACGCGCAUGGUCGGGUGUCUGCAGCGGCAAGUGCCGCUGCCGCGGUCGUGGCGGCUUCAUCCUCGCACCUCUUCCUCCCCACAGGCCUUCGCUCGCUGGACGCGGCGCUACUGGGUGGACUGCGGCGCGGAUGGGUAACGGAGCUGACCGGACUCCCCGGCACUGGCAAGACAACGCUCGCAGCCGAGUGGUGCCGCAGCUGCCUCCGUCAUGCCAGAUCGUGUGGAACGGCGCACGACUGUGUGUGGCUGCAGUCCGGCAGCGCCGUUCACUCUGCCGUGCUGGUCACAGCUCAUGAAGAAGCAGAUGCAACUGAGUUGUCGUCCUUGGUCGAUGCUGUGCAUGUCGCCUGUCUCUCAAGCCUCGAUGGCCUCCAGCAGCUGCUGGCCCGCUGGCAAGGCACAGAGGGCUCUGCGUCUCCGCUCUCCACCGUUGGCUUGAUUGUGCUGGAUAGCAUCACCGACCUCAUGCGGCGCAGCUUCCGCUGCGAAGACGACGACGCGCUGCAGCGGCAUGAGGCACUCGCUACGACACUCCAGUCGCUGAAGCGGCUGGCAGAGGAACAGCGAGUGGCAGUUCUCGUCAUCACGCAACAGCAGCGCCAUCCCUGGCCCGCGCUCGGGCGAUCUAGCAUUUCGCACACCAUCCGUGGUGUGUACAAGGAGGACGGCAACGAGGACGAGGACGACAGCGAGGCGUGGGGCAGCGAGUAUAGCAGACAUGCAAGUGGAGGCGCAGGUGUCGUCGGUCCUCAUGCGUGCCGUAGCGAUUUCAGCUCCGAGGACGUGGGACAGCUUGGUCGGCUCUUCUUCCACAAUGUGAACGUGCGGCUGCAGCUGCGAGCCGGUGUGCGGUCUGCCGGCUGCAGGCCCUCCCCAAGCAAGCCCUUUGACGCCGGCGGCCCCGAGGGCGACAGGGAAGCACUGCGGCUCAGGUGGCAACUCGAGGUUCUGAAGUCUCCGCUGUGUGCACCGUUCGCCGUAGGCCUUCAGCUAAGGGUUCCGACGUCCUUGUCGUGCUCAGAUGACCCUCCCUGCGUGCCGGGGCUUCCUCUCUGCGUAGAGGAAGUCGACGACGACGACGGGAGUCGUGGGUCCGCGGUGCCGCUGGCGCCGAACACACAAGUCGAAGAAGGGCUGUCUCUGUUGUCCCUGGACCCGUGGGACUACACGGAGGUGCCAUCCUUCUUGUAUCUAUAACGGGGAAGUGCGCGUGCAUGUGUGAUGACCUCGAACCCCUUGGCAUCCUUGUCGUCCGGGACGUGUGGCGAUCCCGCCCCCUUCCCUGGGGUGUGUUGCGUUUGCCGCGCGCGAUCUCCCUCUCCUCCACUCGCGGUGCUGCUGAGCAUGAUGUCGUGCACUCUCGUGCAUCUACCACUACUAUGGGUGGUGCUCGCUGUCUCCCUCACGGAGCCACGAGGUUCCUCGACAGGAACACAG